GCCUCAUCAUAAGAAAUAUCAGUUACUGACAGAUAUAAAGAGUCAGAUUGUUAGGAAUGUGGAUGUUAUCAUCUCUUUUCUUAGCUGCUGCUCACUGGGAGCCCUGCCUGUUGAAGACAGUGGUGAAUGCAAAAUGGAGAUGCCAAAGAUGGAAGAUGACUCACUCAACAUGCAAGAGUUACCCCAGCAGGAAUCACUUCCCACUCAUGUGUCUUCUGUGAGCAGUUGAAUCACUGCCCAAUUUCUGUGCCCCUGAAGAACAUGUCCAAACAGCAAUGAUUCAAACAAGUGUUUGACCACCAGC